rfam:Oryza barthii chromosome 8, whole genome shotgun sequence.
UUUAAGUGCAACCAUAAGUUUUUAUAUCCAAUUUUAGUCGUUCGUCUUAUUUUUUUUUAAUUAGUAUUUUUGUUGUUAUGAGAUGAUAAAACAUGAAUAGCACAUUAUGCGUGACUUAUAUUUUUAUUUUUUUUCAAAAUUUUUUUAAAUAAGACAGUCGAUCAAAAUUGGGCACAGAAACUCAUGACAACAUUUAAA